rnacentral:rRNA from 2 species
UUUCGAAUCAUUCACAAUGGGCGAAAGCCUGAUGGUGCGGCGCCGCGUGAGGGAUGAAGGUCUUCGGAUUGUAAACCUCUGUCACUGGGGAAGAAACGCUGAGUUCUAAUACCGCUCAGCCUGACUUAGCCCGGAGAGGAAGCAGUGGCUAACUCUGUGCCAGCAGCCGCGGUAAUACAGAGACUGCAAGCGUUAUUCGGAUUCACUGGGCGUAAAGGGUGCGCAGGCGGCCAAGUGUGUCAGGUGUGAAAUCCCGGGGCUCAACUCCGGAACUGCGCCUGAAACUACUUGGCUAGAGCAUUGGAGAGGGAAGUGGAAUUCACGGUGUAGCAGUGAAAUGCGUAGAUAUCGUGAGGAACACCAGAGGCGAAGGCGACUUCCUGGACAAUUGCCGACGCUCAGGCACGAAAGCGUGGGGAGCCAAAG